rnacentral:rRNA from 1 species
CACGUAGGCGGCCUGGCAAGUUGGACGUGAAAGCCCCUGGCUCAACCAGGGAAUUGCAUCCAAUACUGCCGGGCUUGAGCUCGGGAGGGGAGAGUGGAACUCCUAGUGUAGCGGUGAAAUGCGUAGAUAUUAGGAGGAACGCCGGUGGCGAAAGCGACUCUCUGGCCCGAUGCUGACGCUGAGGUGCGAAAGCUAGGGGAGCAAACA